rnacentral:rRNA from 1 species
AGAGUUUGAUCCUGGCUCAGAUUGAACGCUGGCGGCGUGCUUAACACAUGCAAGUCGAUCGGUAACGCGGGGGCACCCCUGGCGACGAGAGGCGGACGGGUGAGGAACGCUUGGGAAUCUGCCUAUCAGCGGAGGACAACACGGGGAAACUCGUGCUAAUACCCGCAUACGCUCUACGGAGGAAAGCCGGGGACCGCAAGGCCUGGCACUGAUAGAUGAGCCCAAGUCGGAUUAGCUAGUUGGCGGGGUAACGGCCCACCAAGGCGACGAUCCGUAGCUGGUCUGAGAGGACGAUCAGCCACACUGGAACUGAGACACGGUCCAGACUCCUACGGGAGGCAGCAGUGGGGAAUAUUGGACAAUGGGGGAAACCCUGAUCCAGCGACGCCGCGUGGGUGAAGAAGGCCUGCGGGUUGUAAAGCCCUUUCGGUAGGGACGAAAGCUCUCGACCUAACACGUCGGGAGGUUGACUUAACCUACAAAAGAAGCACCGGCUAACUCUGUGCCAGCAGCCGCGGUAAUACAGAGGGUGCGAGCGUUAAUCGGAAUUACUGGGCGUAAAGCGCACGUAGGCGGCUUGGUAUGUCGGGUGUGAAAUCCCCGGGCUCAACCUGGGAACUGCAUCCGAAACUGCCUUGCUCGAGUAUGGGAGAGGGAAGUGGAAUUUCCGAUGUAGCGGUGAAAUGCGUAGAUAUCGGAAGGAACAUCAGUGGCGAAGGCGACUUCCUGGACCAAUACUGACGCUCAGGUGCGAAAGCGUGGGGAGCAAACAGGAUUAGAUACCCUGGUAGUCCACGCCCUAAACGAUGACAACUGGAUGUCGGGAGGGUUUGCCUUCCGGUGUCGUAAACAAGGUAGCCG